UAUUUAUGUUAUGUUUGUUGGGUUAGAAAAAUUUUUUCCGGUCUUGUUUGUUUUAAUGAUGGACUUGGUUCUGAUCUUGUAGUAUGGUGUGAAUUAAGGUUUAUACAUGGUAUGAUUUAGUGUGGUGAGGAGAAUUAAUUUAAAUAAUUUCUUUUAUAUAAAAUAAAGGUAGUUGUAUAAAUUUUUAAUAUUAUAGUGAUAAAUGAUGUUUGGGUUUCCACUAGCACCAGUAUAAGAUUUUAGUUAAUGGGUUAAGGCUUGAACUAGGUUAGUUUAUGAAGGUUGGUAAAUUUAGUGCCAGCAUCCGCGGUUAUACUAGAGACCUAAAUCAUAUGUUAUAAUAGUAAUAAAGGCAAUUAGGUGUAAAGGAAUAGAAAAAAGAUAUUCUAAGAAUUUUUAUUUAGAGGUAAAAUAUGUAUAUGGGAAUUUAUUUUAAUUGGAAUAUGGUUUAGAUUGAAGUUGCGAUAUUUUUAAGGGAAACUAGGAUUAGAUACCCUAUUAUUUUUAAAUGUAAAUUAGUGUUGUUUGCUUACUAGGGUAGUACGAAUAAGUGAUUUAAAACUCAAAGAACUUGGCGGUAUCUUAGACCACUUAGGGGAACCUGUCUCGUAAUCGAUAGUCCACGAUUGACCUUACCUUAUUUUGUAGAGUAUGUAUACCGUCGUCGUCAGGUAACUUUUGAGAAAAUAGUAGUUAACGAUAGUAGUAAAUUUAACUAUGACGUCAGAUCAAGGUGCAGCUUAUAAUAAGGCGAGGAUGGGUUACAAUUAAGAAUUAUAAUAUGGAAAAUUCGUUGGAAUGAUGUUUUUGAAGGAGGACUUAAAAGUAAAGGUAGUAAAGUCACUUACUUUGAAUAAAUGGCUCUUGGAUGUGCACACAUCGCCCGUCGCUCUCGUCGAAAGAUGAGAUAAGUCGUAACAUAGUAGUGGUAAUGGAAAUUGCUUCUAG
rnacentral:ncRNA from 1 species